GAUGAACGCUAGCUACAGGCUUAACACAUGCAAGUCGAGGGGCAGCAUUUCAGUUUGCUUGCAAACUGGAGAUGGCGACCGGCGCACGGGUGAGUAACACGUAUCCAACCUGCCGAUAACUCGGGGAUAGCCUUUCGAAAGAAAGAUUAAUACCCGAUGGCAUAAUUAGACCGCAUGGUCUUAUUAUUAAAGAAUUUCGGUUAUCGAUGGGGAUGCGUUCCAUUAGGCAGUUGGUGAGGUAACGGCUCACCAAACCUUCGAUGGAUAGGGGUUCUGAGAGGAAGGUCCCCCACAUUGGAACUGAGACACGGUCCAAACUCCUACGGGAGGCAGCAGUGAGGAAUAUUGGUCAAUGGGCGCAGGCCUGAACCAGCCAAGUAGCGUGAAGGAUGACUGCCCUAUGGGUUGUAAACUUCUUUUAUAUGGGAAUAAAGUUUUCCACGUGUGGAAUUUUGUAUGUACCAUAUGAAUAAGGAUCGGCUAACUCCGUGCCAGCAGCCGCGGUAAUACGGAGGAUCCGAGCGUUAUCCGGAUUUAUUGGGUUUAAAGGGAGCGUAGGUGGACAGUUAAGUCAGUUGUGAAAGUUUGCGGCUCAACCGUAAAAUUGCAGUUGAUACUGGCUGUCUUGAGUACAGUAGAGGUGGGCGGAAUUCGUGGUGUAGCGGUGAAAUGCUUAGAUAUCACGAAGAACUCCGAUUGCGAAGGCAGCUCACUGGACUGCAACUGACACUGAUGCUCGAAAGUGUGGGUAUCAAACAGGAUUAGAUACCCUGGUAGUCCACACAGUAAACGAUGAAUACUCGCUGUUUGCGAUAUACAGUAAGCGGCCAAGCGAAAGCAUUAAGUAUUCCACCUGGGGAGUACGCCGGCAACGGUGAAACUCAAAGGAAUUGACGGGGGCCCGCACAAGCGGAGGAACAUGUGGUUUAAUUCGAUGAUACGCGAGGAACCUUACCCGGGCUUAAAUUGCAUUUGAAUAUAUUGGAAACAGUAUAGCCGUAAGGCAAAUGUGAAGGUGCUGCAUGGUUGUCGUCAGCUCGUGCCGUGAGGUGUCGGCUUAAGUGCCAUAACGAGCGCAACCCUUAUCUUUAGUUACUAACAGGUCAUGCUGAGGACUCUAGAGAGACUGCCGUCGUAAGAUGUGAGGAAGGUGGGGAUGACGUCAAAUCAGCACGGCCCUUACGUCCGGGGCUACACACGUGUUACAAUGGGGGGUACAGAAGGCAGCUACCUGGUGACAGGAUGCUAAUCCCAAAAGCCUCUCUCAGUUCGGAUCGAAGUCUGCAACCCGACUUCGUGAAGCUGGAUUCGUUAGUAAUCGCGCAUCAGCCAUGGCGCGGUGAAUAAGUUCCCGGGCCU
rnacentral:rRNA from 1 species